AGAUAAAACACCUAGUGUAGAGAGAGGUUGAUUCUCCUUCCUGUCAGUUAGGAGAUAAAACACCUAGUGUAGAGAGAGGUUGAUUCUCCUUCCUGUCAGUUAGGAGGUAAAACACCUAGUGUAGAGAGAGGUUGAUUCUCCUUCCUGUCAGUUAGGAGAUAAAACACCUAGUGUAGAGAGAGGUUGAUUCUCCUUCCUGUCAGUUAGGAGAUAAAACACCUAGUGUAGAGAGAGGUUGAUUCUCCUUCCUGUCCGUUAGGAGAUAAAACACCUAGUGUAGAGAGAGGUUGAUUCUCCUUCCUGUCAGUUAGGAGGUAAAACACCUAGUGUAGAGAGAGGUUGAUUCUCCUUCCUGUCAGUUAGGAGGUAAAACACCUAGUGUAGAGAGAGGUUGAUUCUCCUUCCUGUCAGUUAGGAGGUAAAACACCUAGUGUAGAGAGAGGUUGAUUCUCCUUCCUGUCAGUUAGGAGGUAAAACACCUAGUGUAGAGAGAGGUUGAUUCUCCUUCCUGUCAGUUAGGAGGUAAAACACCUAGUGUAGAGAGAGGUUGAUUCUCCUUCCUGUCAGUUAGGAGGUAAAACACCUAGUGUAGAGAGAGGUUGAUUCUCCUUCCUGUCAGUUAG